rnacentral:lncRNA from 1 species
GGGAACUGUUGAGUCCUGGCCUGAACCACUGAUCGAUCACCUACUGAAAGUACCAGGUCAGCCCUGGGAGCAGAGGUGAAGGCAAUUCAGCUGUGUGACUGGAAGGGGUGGAGCCUGGCUGCACCUCUCCUAGACUCCAAGUAAGGGCUGAGUGCCACUGGGGAAGGGUCUCUUCCUGGAGAUUGCUCCCUUUGGAGUUUUUAUGCGAGCCUAGGACAUGGAGAAGAGGAGGCUGAGGCGGGGGGGAGGUCUGAUGGCAGCCUGAUGGCAGCUCCCUCAAUGUGAGCAGUGCUGACCUGUGCUUUCUGGUGACUGCUACAGAAGCCAAGGGAAUCGCUUGGAGCUGCCAGGGGAGGAUCAGAGCUAAGGAUGCAAGAGUCUGUCCUGCUCUGGGUCUGGCAGUUCCCUAAAGAGCCUAUGGCAAGGAUUCAUGGAGGAACAAGAUGGUAUCUCCUAGGUAAAGCCAAAAGCAGCAGGUCUUAUCCACCUCCCGCUGAAUGAGCGCUGCUUGGCUGGCAAAGUACUCGGACUCUGUCUCAGGCACAGGGCCAGGAGACACACUUUGUGGGCUGCCAGGACUGACCAUUAUUGCCCACCCUCCACCUCCUUGCCCCUCCACAUGCUUUGCAGGGCCCUGAGUCUGGUGAGAGACCAGCUACAGCCCCAGUGUCCUCAGAAUGCUCUGUCCAUGUAACACCUGCCAACUAACAGAAGUUACGUGAGAAGUUAUAAACUCAUUUACAUUGACAAGAUUUCAAGCUUGAGUAGGUUUCAAGCUGAGCCAGAAGGCAAUGGAAUCAUAUGCACUGAUGCCCACAGCUGCAGCCAGGCUUCUAGGUGAAUGCUGCAGGCCCUUCAGAGUUACCUUACAGAAAGCACACUGACACCAUUGGCAACUUCACGGGCAUGAACUGAGGCCCCCUGCAACACUAGAAUGCUGUCAGUGCAGCACAGCAAACAGCUGUGGAGCAGCAGUGUGACAGGCACAUAGUUGUGGUCGCCAGGCUCCCCAGCUGAAAUCAGAGCACAGCAAUGAUGUCACUGGUUCAGGCACUCGGACUAAAGUGAAACUUGCCAAUGCCAGAUCACAGGCCAAGUUUCUUCUAUGAAGAUGAACUCGCGAGAGAGAAAUUUGGUGUAAGGCCACACCACAGUGGCACAUGAGACAAGCAAGUCCACUCUCCCUGUGCUUGGUGGAGCAUUAAGUGAUGCUUUGGUUAUUGCUUGUGGUUUGUCUCUGGUCCAGAAGAGAUCGCUGCAUGUUCUCAUUACUUUGUGUAACAUUACAAGCUCUGAAGAACCUCAGUGGCUCUUUAUAACUUUACUUCCUCAAUCACUAAUAUCAGCUGGGCUGGGAGAAUUAAUUGAUCUGCAAUGACAGCUGCUGGCAUGCACACAAGGAAAUGCUCUGAGUUUCCAUAAGAAAAGCAUCAUGGCUGUACUUCGCAAGACAAGUUCCUACUGAGAUGCUCCAUUCUCACCAUCUGCUCAAGUAAGAGUUAACCAAUGCCCUCAGGUUCCUGAGUUGAAGAAUCUAAAAGCAAAAAGCUGCCUGUUGUGCAGAAAGGAGCCAGAAAUAAGCCACUAAAUAUAAACAGCAACUCACUUCAAUUCUGCCUGAACUGAAGCUCCCUGAGAUUAAGAGAUCUCUUCCUUUCCAUUCUCAGCAACCUUUGGAUCAUCAGCUGUUUGUGCAGGCAGUGUGACCAUAGCCCAGAAUAAACUGGGGCUCAGUAUGUGACUGCUUUAAUCUACCCAACAAUAAUCAGCUAAACUUCUUCAUGGCACCUAAUUAUGAAUCUCCAUCAUGAGGUUUUCUGUAUAUAAUGGUGAGGAUGUCAAAUAUAUUGCCAUACGUAAUAUUUUUUUUAAGAGUCCUGUGCAGCUUAUUCCAGUCUCUGUCUGUGCCCACUGACGAAUGCAAUCAUUUUCAGGUUUUAGAAUCCUUUCAGUAAAACAUGGCCUCUCUUCUCUCCGAGACUUGAAAAAUAGCAGAAACUGAGGGAAAAUAUGCUUUACUUGUUUGUCAGCAAAAUUUUGUCUAAAUUAAAUGGAAUUUCCCAGUUAUAGAAAACAUUUUACUCUUAAGAAAACUUGUUCCUGCUAAUAAACUUUCACUUAUUCUUUUGUAGAUUUUUUAUGUUUGUUUUUCUUCUAGGGGGAAAUGGUUUAAUUGCAGCUUAUGACACAUUUCAGCUGUCUGUAAAACACAUAUUAUAUUUGCUCAGUCUUCCUGAACUGUUGUAAAAAUAAGAACUUCAUGCUGUAAAAAAUUCACACAGUGAAUUCCAUGCAGUGGAUUUUCCAGUUAUAUCUCCUGAAUGCUGUGACAAAAUUUAUUCCUGCUUAAUAUCACUGAUGGCAAUGACAGAGAUUGUGAUUUGUUUUGUGAUAAGAGCUCUUCUGCCUUUUUGGGGGCUUCUUUCAGUCCUUCAAGUUACUCUUUCUUGCAAUUAAAGUUUUUAUUUUAUUAUCUUUUGCUCUUGGUAAAGUGUUUCUAAAUCUACUCAUCAAAGCCACAAUAAAUACAAGAUGGGAGAAAUAUCGUA